CUGUUCACUCGCCUUCUUCGCCCAAACCAGACCCUAAAUCACUCAAAACUCAUGGCGAGUGAGCCCCAAACUCACACCACGUGUUUUCCUCUUCUCUCCUCUUGCUAUAUGGUAACCGUUUCUGACAGAUUCCCUCUCCCUCACAUGCUUCUUUGAUUUAUUUCGGAUUUUUCACCCUUCAGAUGAAAAUGAGGAAAAAUGGGGAGCGUUAGAUUGGAUUCAAGUUAAUCUACUCCCUCCAUUUGUCCCUUUUUUCAUCAGAAAAGGGGUAAGAGAUCAGAUUGGGGGAAGGAUUUUCGUUUUGGAGUUUUCUUGGAGAGAAAGGAAGAAGAUUCGAGAAGAUCUGAAGGUCUAUAAAAGGUGAGAACGUUUUCUUAUGUGGGGGAUUUUUCAGAAGAUUUUGGAGAGGAUUUUAGAGAGAUUUUGGAAGAAAAGUAAAGAUUGGGGUUCGAAAUUUUCUUUUUCCUUUCUAUUGUUCUUUUAUUUCCGGUACUAGAAUAGAGGAAAAACAUUACUGAGUGUUCCAUUAUUUCAUUUCUGUGUCGAUUAUUGUCUAAAGUUUUCGAAACCUCUGAGUCCAUCUUUUCAUUACAAUUAUGGGUUAUUGGUUAAAAAAAGGAGGUCGUUGAGGUUUAAAUCAGUUGCUAUCGAUUGGGCUGUAGCUGCUCCCUUUUAAGUUCUGUUGUGGGUUAUUUCUCAGAAAUCAGAGAUCCGUUUUCCUUUUUCUUUCGCUGUAUUGUUUUUCAAGGUAUGAAAUUUCCAACUCUCUCUAUGUAUUAAGUGAGUUAAGAAUAGGCAAGAAACCUCUUCUAUCGAACAAUGUUGAUUAUGAUCCGUUUCUCCUACUGAUGAUUCUGCUCUUGGUUGUUAACUAUUUGAACGAAACUCAGAGGAGUUCUUAUGAUUUAAGGACUGAAAAUCUGAUUUAGCGUGGCUUGUAUGAUUAUAUGUGUUAUGUUCUUGAUGUCAGUCAACUUGUUAUCGUGAAUCUAUUCUAAGAGUUAGUGUAUGAGGCUUUUAUAUGUGUUAACUGUUAUCAUGCCUUAAUUGGACUAGUAUAUGCAGUAUAGAUGUGUAAAAGAAGCUCAUGCUUUCAAUGUUAAUGGCUUUUAUCAAAUCUCUCCAUUACUAUUUUACAUUUGCCGUCUCUGUUUGUGAUCCUCUUUUAAAAAUUUGAAGUUUAUUUCCUUUAACUUGUUUUGUUCUGGGAAAGAGUUUGAGUUCAUGUUGGUGAAAUAGAAAUUGGCCUUUUUACCCCUAUUUUGAUCAUCUGAUGUCGAGAACGUAUCUUGAGAAUCUGCUUAAUUUCCUUGAAGUUUAUAUGGUAAGAUGGAGCUGUGUACUUGAGUGAAAGUUCAUUCUUCACUGAUUGAGAACUUUUUGUAUAUUAUAGGAAUCCUUUAGUUUAUUAAUUCAGCUUGUUCUUUUGGUUCUUAAAGGAUUGAAGUUUGCUUGAUUAAGUGAGUUGAAUACCCUUCCUCUAAAGUAAAAAGUUCUGUGGCGUGUUAUUUCGAUGGUACAAAGGCUUUGGACAUCUGGUAUGAAUUUUGGCAUGUGUCUUUGGUGAGAAGCAAGUUUUUCUUGUUGAAUCUGCAAAUUUCAGGGCGGUA
rnacentral:lncRNA from 1 species